rnacentral:rRNA from 1 species
AGUGAACGCUGGCGGUAGGCCUAACACAUGCAAGUCGAACGGCAGCACAGUAAGAGCUUGCUCUUACUGGUGGCGAGUGGCGGACGGGUGAGGAAUACAUCGGAAUCUACUUUUUCGUGGGGGAUAACGUAGGGACACUUACGCUAAUACCGCAUACGACCUACGGGUGAAAGCAGGGGAUCUUCGGACCUUGCGCGAUUGAAUGAGCCGAUGUCGGAUUAGCUAGUUGGCGGGGUAAAGGCCCACCAAGGCGACGAUCCGUAGCUGGUCUGAGAGGAUGAUCAGCCACACUGGAACUGAGACACGGUCCAGACUCCUACGGGAGGCAGCAGUGGGGAAUAUUGGACAAUGGGCGCAAGCCUGAUCCAGCCAUACCGCGUGGGUGAAGAAGGCCUUCGGGUUGUAAAGCCCUUUUGUUAGGAAAGAAAAGCAGCAGGUUAAUACCCCGCUGUUCUGACGGUACCCAAAGAAUAAGCACCGGCUAACUUCGUG